CAGCCCCUUCUCCCCAAGCAACCCCAGCUCUCUCCAUCUCUCUCUCGCCCUCAGCAUCCCCACCCGACCCCUUUCCCUCCAAGCCUCCUCUCUCCCUCCUGCUUCCUUUUCUGUCCCUUUCUUUCAUCCCUCCCUUCUCUCCCAUCUCCCUUCUCUAACUCUCUCCAACCUCUCUCUCCCUCAGCUCACUUCCCCUCAGUUUCCGCCCCACCUGCUCUGCCCCCACUUACAUUUCCUUGUCCAAGUUCCUUCAACUGCCUGGAGUCCAGUGGGUGCCUUGAGAGGCUGGAGAGCCGGCCUGGCGCCCCCGCCGGCAGCAUGAGAGGUUCCUGGGUGCAUCUGCACUCGGGGGCGGCGUCUAGCCUCAGACCCUGCCGCUGCGGGGCUGGCGCAGCUCCGAAAAGCUCCCCGCGCUCUCCUGGAGGGCGGCGUGGAGACGGCAGCAGUGACAGCGAGGGCGGCGUCUCCUUCGCAGGGGUGCUGUUCCUGCAGUUCGGGGAGGAGACUCGGCGCGUGCACAUCACGCACGAGGUCAGCAGCCUGGACACGCUGCACGCACUCAUCGCGCACAUGUUCCCGCAGAAGCUCACCAUGGGCAUGCUUAAGUCGCCCAAUACCGCCAUCCUCAUCAAAGACGAGGCUCGCAACGUCUUCUACGAGCUGGAGGACGUCCGGGACAUCCAGGACCGCAGUAUUAUCAAGAUCUACAGAAAGGAGCCCCUCUACGCUGCCUUUCCUGGCUCACAUCUCACCAACGGGGACCUCCGGAGAGAGAUGGUGUACGCAUCGCGGGAGUCCUCGCCCACGCGGCGCCUCAACAACCUGUCACCAGCGCCGCACCUGGCAUCCGGCUCGCCGCCGCCGGGGCUGCCGUCGGGGCUGCCGUCCGGGCUGCAGUCCGGUUCGCCGUCGCGUUCGCGCCUAUCGUACGCCGGGGGGCGCCCGCCUUCGUACGCCGGCAGCCCGGUGCACCACGCGGCCGAGAGGCUGGGAGGCGCCCCGGCCGCCCAGGGCGUCAGCCCCAGCCCCAGCGCCAUCCUGGAGCGGCGCGACGUGAAGCCGGACGAGGACCUGGCGAGCAAGGCGGGCGGCAUGGUGCUGGUGAAAGGCGAGGGUCUCUAUGCUGACCCCUACGGGCUGCUGCACGAGGGCCGUCUGAGCCUGGCCGCGGCCGCCGGCGACCCGUUCGCCUACCCGGGCGCCGGCGGCCUCUACAAGCGCGGCUCGGUGCGCUCGCUCAGCACCUACUCGGCCGCCGCGCUGCAGUCCGAUCUGGAGGACUCCCUGUACAAGGCGGCGGGCGGCGGCGGCCCGCUGUACGGCGACGGCUACGGCUUCCGCCUGCCGCCUUCGUCACCGCAGAAGCUGGCCGACGUGGCAGCACCCCCCGGAGGUCCCCCGCCACCGCACAGCCCCUACUCGGGGCCGCCCAGCCGCGGCUCGCCAGUGCGCCAGUCCUUCCGCAAGGACUCGGGCUCCUCGUCCGUCUUUGCCGAGAGUCCUGGAGGGAAGACCCGCAGCGCGGGGAGCGCCUCGACGGCCGGAGCUCCCCCUUCGGAGCUCUUCCCUGGGCCUGGGGAACGCUCGCUGGUUGGGUUCGGGCCGCCAGUGCCAGCCAAGGACACGGAGACCAGGGAGCGCAUGGAGGCCAUGGAGAAGCAGAUUGCCAGCCUCACAGGCCUGGUGCAGAGCGCCUUACUGCGAGGCUCUGAGCCUGAGACCCCCAGCGAGAAGAUUGAAGGCUCCAAUGGAGCAGCCACCCCCUCAGCACCCUGUGGGUCAGGCGGCCGGAGCAGCGGGGCCACCCCGGUGUCCGGCCCGCCCCCGCCCUCGGCCAGCAGCACCCCCGCAGGGCAGCCUACCGCCGUUAGCCGGCUGCAGAUGCAGCUUCACCUGCGAGGCCUGCAGAACAGCGCCAGUGACUUGCGCGGCCAGCUCCAGCAGUUGCGCAAGCUCCAGCUACAGAACCAGGAGUCGGUGCGCGCGCUGCUGAAGCGCACGGAGGCAGAGCUGAGCAUGCGCGUGUCGGAGGCGGCGCGGCGGCAGGAGGACCCGCUGCAGCGGCAGCGCACCCUGGUGGAAGAGGAACGGCUGCGCUAUCUCAACGACGAGGAGCUUAUUACCCAGCAGCUCAAUGACCUGGAGAAAUCGGUGGAGAAGAUCCAGAGGGACGUGUCCCACAACCACCGGCUGGUGCCCGGCCCUGAGCUGGAGGAGAAGGCACUGGUGCUGAAGCAGCUCGGGGAGACGCUGACAGAGCUCAAGGCUCACUUCCCGGGCCUGCAGAGCAAGAUGCGGGUGGUGCUGCGUGUGGAGGUGGAGGCGGUGAAGUUCCUGAAGGAGGAGCCCCAGCGCCUGGAUGGGCUCCUCAAGCGCUGCCGCGGGGUCACGGACACGCUGGCCCAGAUCCGAAGGCAAGUUGAUGAGGGUGUGUGGCCACCCCCCAACAAUCUCCUGAGUCAGUCCCCCAAGAAGGUGGCGGCAGAGACUGACUUCAACAAGAGUGUGGACUUCGAAAUGCCACCCCCCAGCCCCCCGCUGAACCUGCAUGAGCUGAGCGGGCCAGCUGAAGGAGCCUCUCUUACCCCCAAGGGGGGCAACCCCACCAAAGGCCUGGACACUCCUGGCAAGAGAAGCGUGGACAAAGCUGUGUCUGUUGAGGCUGCAGAGCGAGACUGGGAGGAGAAGCGGGCAGCCCUGACCCAGUACAGUGCCAAGGACAUCAACCGGCUGCUGGAAGAGACACAGGCAGAGCUGCUCAAGGCCAUCCCUGACCUGGACUGUGCCAGCAAGGCCCAUCCAGGCCCGGCCCCCACUCCAGAUCACAAGCCCCCCAAGGCCCCCCACGGCCAGAAGGCAGCCCCCCGAACGGAGCCCAGUGGGAGGAGGGGCUCAGAUGAGUUGACAGUGCCCCGAUACCGCACAGAGAAGCCCUCCAAGUCGCCCCCACCGCCCCCUCCCCGCCGGAGCUUCCCCUCCUCCCAUGGCCUGACCACCACACGUACCGGAGAGGUGGUGGUCACCAGCAAGAAGGACUCGGCCUUCAUCAAGAAGGCUGAGUCCGAGGAGCUGGAGGUGCAGAAGCCCCAGGUGAAGCUGCGCCGGGCUGUGUCUGAGGUGGCCCGCCCGGCCUCCACACCACCCAUCAUGGCCUCGGCCAUCAAGGACGAGGAUGACGAGGAUCGCAUCAUCGCAGAGCUAGAGAGUGGCGGAGGCAGUGUACCACCCAUGAAGGUGGUGACUCCGGGGGCCUCUCGGCUGAAGGCGGCCCAGGGCCAGGCGGGCAGCCCCGACAAAAGCAAACAUGGCAAGCAGAGGGCCGAGUACAUGCGGAUCCAGGCCCAGCAGCAGGUCUAAUGAGCAGGCGCGGAGGCUGUGUGGAGAGUGGACACACCUCACCCGUGGGUGUUUACUGCCCUUGUGGCCUGGUCAGAGGCUGCAGGGUGGCUCCUGGACCCAGAUGUUGUGAGAGACCCUUAGUGCACUCGUUUGAUUUAGUUAAUAUUUAUGAGCAGCUCCUGUAUGACAGGCCCAUUCUGGGUGUGAGGGUGGGGGCUGUGAUAUGUCCAGAUGCUCUCACUUAAAGAAGGUUCUAGACUCAGAGGCAAGACAUUAGAGAAGGUUCUAGACUCAGAGGCAAGAGGUUAGAGAUGGAUGAGUCCAUCUCUUUUUCAGAUGAGGGGGCAGCUCAGAGAAGGAGAGGGGCUUCCCAAAGGUGCACAGCAAGGUGGCAUCACAGCCAGGAUCGGGACCUAGGAAUCUUGGAACCCUUCCCUGCACUGGCCCUGGGACAGCCCUGGGCACCCAAGGCCCUGCCUCCCUACUGGCUCCCAGGAGAAUUUCUCAAAAAGCAGCCCUCCAGCCCCCCGCAGCCUCUCCACAGCUCCCACCUGCCUCCUCAUGGCCCCCAGACACCUUGCGAGCCCCACCUCCAGAUCUUUUUCCUGCCACUGCCAGGGAUGAGUUCCCCUUGUCCUGUCCGGGCUGGACCCUCCUGGGUGCCCAGCAGAGCAGCUGACACUGACAGAGCUUUCGCUGGGGCCAGGCAUGCGCAUUAUCUCAUCUCACACUCACCACACUGAGGAAGGUCUAUUACCCCCAUGUGACGGGGGCGGAAACUGAGGCUUAAUCCAAGGCCACACGGCUAGCAAGUGGGGGGCAGGACACAAGUCCAGACUGCCUCCCUCCCCACCACAAAGUGCUUCAGCCUCUCCAGCAGCCCCUUCCCUCAGCUCUAAUGAUGUUGCACUGUUUCCCACCCUAGUCCCUCCCUCCCCAGAGCCCAGCUCCUCGGCUGUGGUGUCAGCCUCAUGUCUUUAUGGCCCAGCCUCCACCCCAUCUCCGGGGUUGCCUGGGUCUCCAGUGACAUCGAGAUGGGCUCUUUCCACCCCCCUCCCCCACUGCUCUGCAGCAUGUGGCCUUGUAGACCCCCCCACACCUGCAUAGGGCUGUGCAGACCCUCUGUUCCUCAGCAUCCUCUCCCCAGCCUCCACCUGGAGCCUCUGGACUCCUUUCUGGGUGACUUCCUCUAUUUUUUGAGACGGAGUCUUGCUCUGUCUCCCAGGCUGGAGUCCAGUGGUGUGAUCUCAGCUCACUGCAGCCUCCGCCUGCUGGGUUCAAGUGAUUCUCAUGCCUCAGCCUCCCGAGCAGCUGAGACUACAGGCUAAUUACCACACUGGCUAAUUUUUGUAUUUUUAGUAGAGACGGGGUUUCACCAUGUUGGCCAGGCUGGUCUCAAACUCCUGAGCUCAGGUGAUCCUCCCACCUCAGCCUCCCAAAGUGCUGGGAUUACAGGCGUGAGCCAUUGCACUCCUUUGCCUGCCUUUUCCCUUCCUGAGCCCCACUCCUCAGCCUCUUCUCCACACACCAUGCCUUCCUCUCCUCAGGCACCAGGCACUGCUUAGUCCCUGCCCCCACCCAGGUCUCCAUUCUGAGCUCCAGUCACCCACACACGCUUCCCCGGGCAUCCCCAGGCUCCUCGCACGCGUGUGUCCAGACAUAAUGCUCCCCCGACCAUGCUGCCCCAGCCUGUACGAGGCUGCCCCAGCUGCUGUCUCCCUCAGGAAGGGUCGCCCACCCCCAGCCUUCCCAAGCCCCUCCGUGCCCCUGUCUUACUUCCAGUGCUCCAGUAGCCUUUCUUAUAAACAUGGCUUCUUUCUUGUAAAGUAAUAAAUGUUUACAGUGG
rnacentral:sRNA from 1 species